rnacentral:rRNA from 1 species
GACGAAGGGGGCUAGCGUUGUUCGGAAUUACUGGGCGUAAAGCGAGUGUAGGUGGUUGUCGUAGUCAGGCGUGAAAGCCUUGAGCUCAACUCAAGAAAUGCGCUUGAUACUGGGCAGCUAGAGGACCGGAGAGGAUAGUGGAAUUCCCAGUGUAGUGGUGAAAUACGUAGAGAUUGGGAAGAACACCAGUGGCGAAGGCGGCUAUCUGGACGGUUUCUGACACUAAGACUCGAAAGCGUGGGGAGGCAAACAGG